GACGAACGCUGGCGGCGUGCUUAACACAUGCAAGUCGAACGGAAAGGCCCUGCUUUUGUGGGGUGCUCGAGUGGCGAACGCGUGAGUAUCACGUGAGUAACCUGCCCUUGACUUUGGGAUAACUUCAGGAAACUGGGGCUAAUACCCGAUAUGAACUCCUGCUGCAUGGUGUGGCUUGGAAAGUUUCGGCGGUUGGGUAUGGACUCGCGGCUUAUCAUCGUGUUGGUGGGGUAGUGGAUUACCAAGGCUUUGACGGGUAGCCGGACUGAGAGGGUGACCGGCCACAAUGGGCCUGGGAUAGGGGCCAGACUCAUACGGGAGGCAGCAGUGGGAAAUAUUGCACAAUGGGCGGAAGCCGGAUGCAGCAACGUCGAGUGCGGGAUGACGGCCUUUGGGUAGGAAACUGCGUUAGCCUGGGACGCAGCGUGAGUGACGGUAAUGGGUAAAGAAGCAACGGCUAACUACGUG
rnacentral:rRNA from 1 species